CUUCUUGUGUACACAGAAAGCAAUGGGGUUGAUACAAUACUGGAUUACAGCAAGGAAGGAAAGAGCUGGAGGCUGAAUUCUGAGUCUGGCUCACAUCUGAUGACAGAACCCAAGACUACCAGCCCAGGGCACCACCCACAAGGGCUGGGUCCUCCCGCCUUGAUCACUAGUUGAGAAAAUGCCUUACAGCUGGAUCUCAUGGAGGCAUUUCCCUCAAGGGAGGCUCCUUUCUCUGUGAUAACUCAAGCUUGUGUCAAGUUGGCACACAAAACCAGCCAGUACACAUGGGCCUAUCUACUAAGGGACAAAGCUGACAUCAGAGGCCUGUGCUGACUUAAGAGUCACAGCUUGCUGCUGGUGCCCAGCAUCUGGCACCUACACAAGCAUCUGGCAGCCCUGGAAAGGCUCAAGAGUCAAACAUCCCUGGAAGCUU
rnacentral:lncRNA from 1 species